rnacentral:hammerhead_ribozyme from 1 species
AUCCAGCUGAUGAGUCCCAAAUUGGACGAAACGCGCGCCAUGGAU